rnacentral:misc_RNA from 1 species
GCUAACCAAUCAAUAUAACCGAUAGCAAUGUUCUUUUUAUUUUCUACAGUCCAAUCACCAGACUUAAAGAGGCAUUUCCCCACAUACACCCAUAGCAGACAAUAUUUUUCCUCCACAUGCAACCAUAAACCAAAAUUGCUUCAUGCUUGUCAUAUUUCAAGACUACUCCACAAUCUGAGCAAUAUAAUAUAGUAAUAAUGAUGGAAAUCACUUCCACGUCUAUAUGUAGGAAAAUGCAAUCCACAUAUCAACAUACCCAAGUUCUAUUAGCAAUGCACAAAUGCAUCCAUUAAUAAAAAGGAAGAUGAUUGCAAGGUACAA